rnacentral:rRNA from 1 species
AGUGAACGCUGGCGGUAGGCCUAACACAUGCAAGUCGAACGGCAGCACAGGAGAGCUUGCUCUCUGGGUGGCGAGUGGCGGACGGGUGAGGAAUACAUCGGAAUCUACCUUUUCGUGGGGGAUAACGUAGGGAAACUUACGCUAAUACCGCAUACGACCUACGGGUGAAAGUGGGGGACCGCAAGGCCUCACGCGAUUAGAUGAGCCGAUGUCCGAUUAGCUAGUUGGCGGGGUAACGGCCCACCAAGGCGACGAUCGGUAGCUGGGGUGAGAGGAGCAUCAGGCACACUGGAACUGCGACACGGUCCAGACUCCUACGGGAGGCAGCAGUGGGGAAUAUGGGACAAUGGGCGCAAGCCUGAUCCAGCCAUACCGCGUGGGUGAAGAAGGCCUUCGGGUUGUAAAGCCCUUUUGUUGGGAAAGAAAUCCUAUCGGUUAAUAACCGGUGGGGAUGACGGUACCCAAAGAAUAAGCACCGGCUAACUUCGUGCCAGCCGCCGCGGUAAAAC